rnacentral:rRNA from 1 species
GAUGGGCAUGCGUAACAUUAGCUAGUUGGUAAGGUAACGGCUUACCAAGGCUACGAUGUUUAGGGGGUCUGAGAGGAUGAUCCCCCACACUGGUACUGAGACACGGACCAGACUCCUACGGGAGGCAGCAGUGAGGAAUAUUGGGCAAUGGGCGCAAGCCUGACCCAGCCAUGCCGCGUGAAGGAUGACAGCCCUACGGGUUGUAAACUUCUUUUGUAAGGGAAGAACCUCCCGAACGUGUUCGGGACUGACUGUACUUUACGAAUAAGCAUCGGCUAACUCCGUGCCAGCAGCCGCGGUAAUACGGAGGAUGCAGGCGUUAUCCGGAUUCAUUGGGUUUAAAGGGUGUGUAGGCGGAAUAAUAAGUCAGUGGUGAAAUACUACAGCUUAACUGUAGAACUGCCAUUGAUACUGUUGUUCUUGAGUGUAGUUGAGGUGGGCGGAAUGUGUCAUGUAGCGGUGAAAUGCUUAGAUAUGACACAGAACACCGAUUGCGUAGGCAGCUCACUAAACUAUAACUGACGCUGAGGCACGAAAGCGUGGGGAUCAAACAGGAUUAGAU